UACGUAGGGGGCAAGCGUUGUUCGGAAUUACUGGGCGUAAAGGGCUCGUAGGCGGCCAACUAAGUCAGACGUGAAAUCCCUCGGCUUAACCGGGGAACUGCAUCUGAUACUGGAUGGCUUGAGAUUGGGAGAGGGAUGCGGAAUUCCAGGUGUAGCGGUGAAAUGCGUAGAUAUCUGGAGGAACACCGGUGGCGAAGGCGGCAUCGGGGACCAACACUGACGCUGAGGAGCGAAAGCGUGGGUAGCAAACAGG
rnacentral:rRNA from 1 species